GUGCUUGCUUCGGCAGCACAUAUACUAAAAUUGGGAUUAUACAGAGAAGAUUAGCAUGGGCCCUGUGCAAGGAUGACAUGCAAAUAAAAAAAAAAAAGAAUAAUGUGU
ensembl:snRNA U6 U6 spliceosomal RNA